ensembl:snoRNA SNORD21 Small nucleolar RNA SNORD21
GCCAAAUGAUGAUAGUCUACAAACUGAGCAGUCAGUAGUUGGUCCUUUGAUUGCAUAUGAUAUAAUAAUUGUUUCAAGACGGGACUGAUGGCAGC